UUCUGUCUAUCAUUUAGUUUGUAAAUACUCGAGAGGCUAUAUGGGUAUAUAAAACGUCUACAAGAUCCCGUGUUCGUUGCAAGUUCGACAAAAUGCGCUCAAUACAACCAACGUUCAUCGUUUUCAACAGAACACUCUUAUACAGCGGACAAAGGACUAGCGUUGAAAUGCGGGGCAUCUUUAGCCCACGCAACACAAACCGGAUGUAUACCAUGCACGCAGGCCAAUUGAUUGGUAUUGAAUCUUUAUAUUUUAAGGCAUUGGACUCAUCCUGUGCAGUUAUUGUAGUCCAUUCGUUUACC